rnacentral:rRNA from 1 species
GACGUAGGAGACGAGCGUUAUUCGGAUUUACUGGGCGUAAAGCGCGUGCAGGCGGUUUGGUAAGUUGGAUGUGAAAGCUCCCGGCUCAACUGGGAGAGGUCGUUCAAAACUGCCAGACUAGAGAGUAGGAGAGGGAGGUGGAAUUCCGGGUGUAGGGGUGAAAUGCGUAGAUAUCCGGAGGAACACCAGUGGCGAAGGCGACCUCCUGGCCUAUUUCUGACGCUCAGACGCGAAAGCUAGGGUGGCAAACGGGAUUAGAGACCCCGGUAGUCCUAGCCGUAACGAUGUAGACUUGGCGUUGGUGGGGUAAAAUCCAUCAGUGCCGAAGCUAACGCGAUAAGUCUACCGCCUGGGGACUACGGCCGCAAGGUUAAA